UACCCAAUCCUGACACAGGGAGGUAGUGACAAGAAAUAACAAUACGGGGCUUAAUGUCUUGUAAUUGGAAUGAUGGGAAUUUAAACCUCUUCCAGAGUAUCAAUUGGAGGGCAAGUCUGGUGCCAGCAGCCGCGGUAAUUCCAGCUCCAAUAGCGUAUAUUAAAAUUGUUGCAGUUAAAAAGCUCGUAGUUGAAUUUCUGCUGCAUUGCAUCUUCUUUUUGAUGAGUUGGUGUAUUGUGGCUUAUUUCGGGUGAUACUUGUAUUAUCCGGAUGAUUACUUUGAGAAAAUUAGAGUGCUCAAAGCAGGCUUUUGCCUUGAAUAGUUUAGCAUGGAAUAAUAAAGUAGGACUUUGGUUCUAUUUUGUUGGUUUUAGGUACCAAAGUAAUGGUUAAUAGGAACAGUUGGGGGCAUUCGUAUUUAA
rnacentral:rRNA from 1 species